rnacentral:rRNA from 1 species
CGUACCCUGUCGUGGGGGAUAACUAACCGAAAGGUUAGCUAAUACCGCAUACGACCUGAGGGUGAAAGCGGGGGAUCGCAAGACCUCGCGCGAUAGGAGCGGCCGAUGUCAGAUUAGCUAGUUGGUGAGGUAAAGGCUCACCAAGGCGACGAUCUGUAGCGGGUCUGAGAGGACGGCCCGCCACACUGGAACUGAGACACGGUCCAGACUCCUACGGGAGGCAGCAGUGGGGAAUUUUGGACAAUGGGCGCAAGCCUGAUCCAGCCAUUCCGCGUGAGUGAAGAAGGCCUUCGGGUUGUAAAGCUCUUUCGGCAGGAACGAAACGCUCUGGGCUAAUACCCCGGGGCAAUGACGGUACCUGAAGAAGAAGCACCGGCUAACUACGUGCCAGCAGCCGCGGUAAUACGUAGGGUGCGAGCGUU